GACUGAAAUGGAUUAACACAGACUGAAAUGGACUGGACAGUCGGCUCAGACUGAAAUGGAUUAACACAGACUGAAAUGGACUGGACAGUCGGCUCAGACUGAAACUAAACUGGACAUUUUAUUAAUUGUCUACUGAUCCUAGUACAGAUCUGGACACCUCAGCCAGCCUGACUCUCCUGUUAUUUCAACUUAUGUGCCAGUUUUCGUGUCGAGUCAGAGACUAAAUAAACUACAUAAACUCCUCCACGUAUCUCAUUUGUACAUGUCUGCUGUCACAUUGUGAUGUUUCUGCUCAGGGACUCCCAGGGGUCUUGUCUGGUCCAAAAGGGUUCAUUUCUCCCUGCUUCUUCACACGUAAUCUAACUAGUCCGACGUAGGCUACACUGAUCUGAUGACAGACCUGCCGUCAGGCUCGGGAUCAGGCUCGGGAACAGGCUCAGGAACAGGCUCAGGAUCAGGAUCAGGAUCAGGCUAGCCAUCAGAUACACAUGUCCUGUGCCAGAGAAGAUGACAAGGUACAUCCUCCAAGCAGCCAAGUUCAACAGCUUUUCACUGAAUGUGUUGCUAUCACUUUUAUCAUUAAAUAAUUUCCCUUAAAUGACGGAAGAUUUGAGUGAUACUCUUAAAUGAGUAUGUUGUUUGAUUGAACAUCCGUUAUCCCCGAGAAAUCCUAUUAAUCCCUGAGUCUGUACUGGGGAGAGAAAAAAAAGUUUUGUCACGGACAAAAUUUGCUGUGGAAAAAAAUAAAUCUCAGCCUUGUCUUGGAAUGGAGAAAGAUAGAUAGAUAGAUAUUUGGAGAAAGGAAGGAAGUGUGUUUUGUUUGGGUUGGAGGAGAAUCCAUGUGUGAAGGAUGUGGUGGUGGUGGGUGAUGGCAGCAGGAUCUGANNNNNNNNNNCAGACUGAAAUGGACUGGACAGUCGGCUCGGACUGAAAUGGAUUAACACAGACUGAAAUGGACUGGACAGUCGGCUCAGACUGAAAUGGAUUAACACAGACUGAAAUGGACUGGACAGUCGGCUCAGACUGAAACUAAACUGGACAUUUUAGCCCUCCCUGAAAUCACAAAGUUAUUUGGAAAAAAAUGACUCUAAAUAUUAUUCUUGCACAAUGUUAAUCUUUUUAACUUUAAUUUUUUUUUAAGGUUGAUGGAUGUUAGU
rnacentral:lncRNA from 13 species